rfam:Candidate division Zixibacteria bacterium SM23_73_3 WORSMTZ_808, whole genome shotgun sequence.
GCGGACGUGGUGAAACUGGCAUACACGACAGCCUUAGGAGCUGUUGGUCGAAAGACCGUGGGAGUUCGAGUCUCCCCGUCCGCA